rnacentral:rRNA from 1 species
GUCUGUUUGGAGAUAUAAAAAGUUUAACCUGCCCACUGAUUUAUAAUAAUUAAAUGGCCGCGGUAUUUUGACCGUGCAAAGGUAGCAUAAUCGUUAGUUUUUUAAUUGGAAUCUUGUAUGAAUGGUUGGACAAAAGAAAAUCUGUCUUUAUAUUGUUUAUUGAAUUUAACUUUUAAGUGAAAAGGCUUAAAUGCAUUAAAGGGACGAUAAGACCCUAUAAAACUUAAUAUUGAAUUUUUAUUUAGUUAAAUUUUGUUAUAAAAACUUAAUGAUUAAAUUUAUUUUAUUGGGGCGAUAAAAGUAAAAUGAUUGUUAACUGCUUAAUUUUUUGUACAUUGAUAAAUGAUUUUAAUAUUUAAAUGAUCCUAAUUAAAGAUUAAAAGUUUAAGUUACUUUAGGGAUAACAGCGUUAUUGUUCUUGAGAGUUCUUAUCGAAAGAAAAUUUUGCGACCUCGAUGUUGAAUUAAAAUAUCUUUAUAAUUGUAGCAGUUAUAUAAGUAGGUCUGUUCGACCUUUAAAAUUUUACAUGAUUUGAGUUCAAACCGGCGUGAGCCAGGUUGGUUUCUAUCUUUUAAUUAUAAAAAAUUAUUUUAGUACGAAAGGAUUAAAUAAUUAAAAUUAUUUUCAAUAUGAUUAAAACUAUUUUGGCAGAUAAUAUGUGUUGGA